UGAGUUGCGAACGGGUGAGUAACGCGUAGGUAACCUGCCUCAUAGCGGGGGAUAACUAUUGGAAACGAUAGCUAAUACCGCAUAAGAGUAAUUAACACAUGUUAGUUAUUUAAAAGGAGCAAUUGCUUCACUGUGAGAUGGACCUGCGUUGUAUUAGCUAGUUGGUGAGGUAAAGGCUCACCAAGGCGACGAUACAUAGCCGACCUGAGAGGGUGAUCGGCCACACUGGGACUGAGACACGGCCCAGACUCCUACGGGAGGCAGCAGUAGGGAAUCUUCGGCAAUGGACGGAAGUCUGACCGAGCAACGCCGCGUGAGUGAAGAAGGUUUUCGGAUCGUAAAGCUCUGUUGUUAGAGAAGAACGUUGGUAGGAGUGGAAAAUCUACCAAGUGACGGUAACUAACCAGAAAGGGACGGCUAACUACGUGCCAGCAGCCGCGGUAAUACGUAGGUCCCGAGCGUUGUCCGGAUUUAUUGGGCGUAAAGCGAGCGCAGGCGGUUCUUUAAGUCUGAAGUUAAAGGCAGUGGCUUAACCAUUGUACGCUUUGGAAACUGGAGGACUUGAGUGCAGAAGGGGAGAGUGGAAUUCCAUGUGUAGCGGUGAAAUGCGUAGAUAUAUGGAGGAACACCGGUGGCGAAAGCGGCUCUCUGGUCUGUAACUGACGCUGAGGCUCGAAAGCGUGGGGAGCAAACAGGAUUAGAUACCCUGGUAGUCCACGCCGUAAACGAUGAGUGCUAGGUGUUAGGCCCUUUCCGGGGCUUAGUGCCGCAGCUAACGCAUUAAGCACUCCGCCUGGGGAGUACGACCGCAAGGUUGAAACUCAAAGGAAUUGACGGGGGCCCGCACAAGCGGUGGAGCAUGUGGUUUAAUUCUAAGCAACGCGAAGAACCUUACCAGGUCUUGACAUCCUUCUGACCGGCCUAGAGAUAGGCUUUCUCUUCGGAGCAGAAGUGACAGGUGGUGCAUGGUUGUCGUCAGCUCGUGUCGUGAGAUGUUGGGUUAAGUCCCGCAACGAGCGCAACCCCUAUUGUUAGUUGCCAUCAUUAAGUUGGGCACUCUAGCGAGACUGCCGGUAAUAAACCGGAGGAAGGUGGGGAUGACGUCAAAUCAUCAUGCCCCUUAUGACCUGGGCUACACACGUGCUACAAUGGUUGGUACAACGAGUCGCAAGCCGGUGACGGCAAGCUAAUCUCUUAAAGCCAAUCUCAGUUCGGAUUGUAGGCUGCAACUCGCCUACAUGAAGUCGGAAUCGCUAGUAAUCGCGGAUCAGCACGCCGCGGUGAAUACGUUCCCGGGCCUUGUACA
rnacentral:rRNA from 1 species